GGACAUGGUGGGGGGGUGUGUGUGGGCGUUUGUCCCGGCGUUUCCUCCCUCCCCCGGCGGACACAAACACAUCAGGAGGGCAAUAAAGGGGAGGAAAAGGGCCGGGGCGCUUCUUUCCAUGGGGUGGGGCAGGGAUGGCUUCCUUCCCCCCCAAACCCCCCCACCCCGGGGUGUGGGGGGACCCCCUGAAUGGGUUGGGUGGGGGCCACCCCGACCCUGGGGGUCCCCACGGGCAGAAGCUCUUUCUUGCACUGGGGGGGCUCGAGAUGAGCCCGUCCUGGCAUCGUGUGAGCCCUGGGAUGGAUUUUUUUUUUUGGAGGGGGGGGAGCUGUGGGUCAUGGCCCCCUCGUGCCCCACGGCAUCACACCGGGUUUGUGGCCACCGGGCUGGGGGGCAGAAGUGGCCUGGCCACGGUGGCAUCGCUCUGCAGUGGCUGGGGGAGGGGGAGGGGGGUCUGCAUGGUGACCCCAGAGACCGGCUGGGGUGUGGGUGCUCCUGGUGGCACCCCAAGGAUGGAGGAGUUGGGUUUGGGUCCUCCUGGUGCCCCCCAGGGAUGGAGGAGCCUGAGUGUGGGUGCUUCUGGUGCCCCCCAGGAUGGAGGAGCAGGAUGUGGGUACUCCUGGUGCCCCCCAGGGAUGGAGAUGCCGGUUGUGGGUGCUCCUGGGGACACCCCAGGAACAGAGGAGCUGGGUGUGGGUGCUCCCGGUGCCCCCCCAGAGAUGGUGGAGCAGGAUGUGGGUGCUCCUGGUGCCCCCCAGGGAUGGAGGAGCAGGAUGUGGGUGCUCCUGGGGACACCCCAGGAACAGAGGAGCUGGGUGUGGGUGCUCCUGGUGCCCCCCAGGGAUGGAGGAGCAGGAUGUGGGUCCUCCUGGUGACCCCCAGGAUGGAGGAGCUGGGUGCAGGCGUCAGCACCGUGGGGUGCAGUGUUGGGGAGGGGGGGUGCAGCCGGCACUGGGGGGGUUGGUUUGACCUUUGGUGUUUGCUGGAGGGGAGGGAGGAAUUUCUCGCCCCGGGUCCAGCCUCGCAGCAUCGUCCUCCCGGCCUUGAUGGGUGCCACCAUCCUUGGGGUUUUGGAGCUGAGCUGUGACAUUUUGCGGGGAGGUGACAGAAGAACCCCUCCCCUUGUCCCCCCUGCCACCUUUGGCUUGGGCAGCAGAACCUAUUUUUUGGGGGGGGAGGGGGGGGCUCGCUGUGGGGACAAUGUCAUCCCUGGCAGUGAAGAGGGGUGAAUUCAGUGGGGUCUUCUCAUCCAUCCCAUACUGGUUUGGUGGUCGGGGGGUUACUGGGGAGGGCUGAACAUGGGUCUCACCUAAGCCCUCCUCCCCCCAAAUCCCCCCCCCAGCAUCCAUAGUCACGGGGAGGCUUGUGGUUCCAGGGCUGAGGAGCCAAACCACCUCCGGGGUCACCUUCUUGGGGGUGAAUCCAUGGAUUUGGGGGCUGCUGGAUCUUUGCAGCCGGAUCCGGUGUCUCAUCCCUACCCCAUGGACGCGGAGGAGAUGAUGUUGGGGAGCUGCC
rnacentral:lncRNA from 1 species